rnacentral:rRNA from 1 species
CCCUUAGAUGUUCUGGGCCGCACGCGUGCUACACUGAGUGGAUCAGCGGGUCAGGUUGCGCGAAAGCGUUUCCUAAUCUUUAAAUCCGCUCGUGAUGGGGAUUGACGGUUGCAAUUUUCUGUCAUGAACGAGGAAUACCUUGUAAGCGCGCGUCAUCAUCCCGCGCUGAAUACGUCCCUGCCCUUUGUACACACCGCCCGUCGCUCCUACCGAUUGAGUGGUCCGGUGAGGCUUUGGGAUCUGAGCGGAAAGAGCGUUUCGCUGUUUCUGCUCGGAAAACUCAGUCGAACCUUAUCAUUUAGAGGAAGGAGAAGUCGUAACA